rnacentral:rRNA from 1 species
AUUCCCCUAGUAACUGCGAGUGAAGCGGGAAAAGCUCAAAUUUGAAAUCUGGUGGUCUUUUGGCCAUCCGAGUUGUAAUCUAGAGAAGUGCUUUCCGUGCUGGACCAUGUACAAGUCUCUUGGAAUAGAGCGUCAUAGAGGGUGAGAAUCCCGUCUCUGACAUGGAUCACCAGUGCUUUUGUGAUGCGCUCUCGAAGAGUCGAGUUGUUUGGGAAUGCAGCUCAAAAUGGGUGGUAAAUUCCAUCUAAAGCUAAAUAUUGGCGAGAGACCGAUAGCGAACAAGUACCGUGAGGGAAAGAUGAAAAGAACUUUGGAAAGAGAGUUAAACAGUACGUGAAAUUGUUGAAAGGGAAACGCUUGAAGUCAGUCCAUUGGCCAGGAUCACCUUGCUUUUGCUGGUGCAUUUCGGUUGAUGGGUCAGCAUCAUUUUGACCCGUGACAAAGUUGGAAGGAAUGUGCACCUUUUAGGUGUGUAUAGCCUUUGAUCGUAUACAACGGUUGGGAUUGAGAACUCAGCACGCCGCAAGGUCAGGGCUUUUGCUCAUGUUCGUGCUUAGGAUGCUGGCAUAAUGGCUUUAAUCGACCCGUCUUGAAACACGGACCAAGGAGUCUAACAUGCCUGCGAGUGUUUGGGUGGAAAACCCAAGCGCGCAAUGAAAGUGAAAAGUUGAGAUCCCUGUCGUGGGGAGCAUCGACGCCCGGACCAGACCUUCUGUGACGGAUCCGCGGUAGAGCAUGUAUGUUGGGACCCGAAAGAUGGUGAACUAUGCCUGAAUAGGGUGAAGCCAGAGGAAACUCUGGUGGAGGCUCGUAGCGAUUCUGACGUGCAAAUCGAUCGUCGAAUUUGGGUAUAGGGCGAAAGACUAAUCGAACCAUCUAG